UCGACAUCCGUGUUAUCAGGCUUUUCAUCCUUCUCCGAUUCACCAUUCUUUUCUCGUUCUUUUUGUGCAAGAUAGGCUCUGGUCUGCCCACUAGCUAUAAUUUUACCAAUAUCUUCAGCUGGAUCUUCUUCUUCAACGUUAUUAGUUGAAGUCAAGGCUUUGACGGGAUCUUUCGCGGUAUCUUGCUCAUCGCGAACUACUUGAGCAAUUUCACUGCAUUUUACCUGCUCCGCAAAGAGCUCUGUAAUGUCCUCUUUACUCACAUACUGUCCAGAGCUCUUCAAUGUUGGUAGUGACUCUCUAAGUAAGUUUUGCAAAUGUUGGGUCAUAUAUCUACCACCCAAAGGCAGCUGCUGCGUAGCAGUAAAUAUAAUUUGCCCAUCCAAAAUUGGUGUAAUGUCUGUUUUCUCAUAACCAAUAUCAAUCACAAGUCCAUGUAAAAUUCCAAUAGCGUAUAGACCCAUCAAAGG